CUUCACCGACCCCAACCACACCGGUCGGUCCGCAGGGCGGUCCUGGCCGUAGGUGGCCAGCAGCGCCUGCGCCUC
rnacentral:antisense_RNA from 1 species